rnacentral:rRNA from 1 species
CAGGCCUAACACAUGCAAGUCGAACGGGUGCUUUCGGGCACUAGUGGCGCACGGGUGCGUAACGCGUGGGAAUCUGCCCUGGGGUUGGGAAUAACAGCGGGAAACUGCUGCUAAUACCUGAUGAUGUCGUAAGACCAAAGAUUUAUCGCCCUGGGAUGAGCCCGCGUCGGAUUAGCUAGUUGGUGGGGUAAAGGCCUACCAAGGCGACGAUCCGUAGCUGGUCUGAGAGGAUGAUCAGCCACACUGGGACUGAGACACGGCCCAGACUCCUACGGGAGGCAGCAGUGGGGAAUAUUGGACAAUGGGCGCAAGCCUGAUCCAGCAAUGCCGCGUGAGUGAUGAAGGCCUUAGGGUUGUAAAGCUCUUUUACCCNGGGAAGAUAAUGACUGUAUCGGGAGAAUAAGCCCCGGCUAACUCCGUGCCAGCAGCCGCGGUAAU